rnacentral:rRNA from 1 species
CUCGUAGGCGGUUCGUCGCGUCCGGUGUGAAAGUCCAUCGCUUAACGGUGGAUCUGCGCCGGGUACGGGCGGGCUGGAGUGCGGUAGGGGAGACUGGAAUUCCCGGUGUAACGGUGGAAUGUGUAGAUAUCGGGAAGAACACCAAUGGCGAAGGCAGGUCUCUGGGCCGUCACUGACGCUGAGGAGCGAAAGCGUGGGGAGCGAAACA